UAUAUAACCUGGUUAUUCAUCCACCUAACGUAGUCUGGUUAAUUUAACCAGGGUAUCAUGGUAAAAUUAACCAAGAAAUAAUCAGGAAUAUUAGGUUUGCCAAAUAGGCUUUUUCUAGGUUAACCAGAGAAAUUUUAACAGAGUGUUUUACAGUGGAUAAAAAACUAUUAUUUUUCAUUACAAUAAAACGCCGCAUACAAGAAC